rnacentral:rRNA from 1 species
UCAAGUGAAUAAGCGUAUGUGGUGGAUGCCUUGGCGGUAGGAGGCGAUGAAGGACGUGUAAGUCUGCGAUAAGCUGUGGUUAGCUGACACAAAAGCGUAUAACCCACAGAUUUCCGAAUGGGGCAACCCGAUCUUAAAAGAUCACUUUAUAGCUGUAAGGUUAUAAAGAGCGAACCCGGAGAACUGAAAUAUCUAAGUACCCGGAGGAAAAGAAAUCAACCGAGAUUCCGCAAGUAGCGACGAGCGAACGCGGACUAGCCCAAAAGUCUCAUAGUUUUUAACAGAAUGGUGUGGAAAAGCCAGCCGAAGAAGGUGAUAGCCCUGUAUGUGAAAGAGAUUAUGAGAUGAAUGUGAGUAGGGCGGGGCACGAGAAACCCUGUCUGAAUAUAGGUGGACCAUCAUCUAAGGCUAAAUACUCCCUACCGACCGAUAGUGAACCAGUACCGUGAGGGAAAGGCGAAAAGAACCCCUGUGAGGGGAGUGAAAUAGACCCUGAAACCGCAUACGUACAAGCAGUCAGAGUCCCUCACCUAGAAUUUUUUAUAAAAAUGUGAGUCACAUUUUCAAAAGAAAUUCUAGGUGAGGGAUGAUGGCGUACCUUUUGUAUAAUGGGUCAGCGACUUAAUUUCAGUAGCAAGCUUAAGCGAAUAGUGUAGGCGAAGGGAAACCGAGUCUUAAUAGGGCGCAUAGUUGCUGGAAUUAGACCCGAACCCGGGCGAUCUAUCCAUGGCCAGGUUGAAGGUCGGGUAAAACCGACUGGAGGACCGAACCCACGUAUGUUGAAAAAUGCGGGGAUGAGCUGUGGAUUGGAGUGAAAGGCUAAACAAGCCCGGAGAUAGCUGGUUCUCCCCGAAAACUAUUUAGGUAGUGCCUUAUGUAUCACUCACGGGGGUAGAGCACUGUUAUGGCUAGGGGGUCACACCGACCUACCGUCCCAUGGCAAACUCCGAAUACCGUGAAGUGCAAUCAUAGGAGACAGACUACGGGUGCUAACGUCCGUAGUCGAGAGGGCAACAACCCAGACCGCCAGCUAAGGUCCCAAAAUCACCACUAAGUGGGAAACGAAGUGGGAAGGCAUAGACAGCUAGGAGGUUGGCUUAGAAGCAGCCACCCUUUAAAGAAAGCGUAAUAGCUCACUAGUCGAGUCGGCCCGCGCGGAAGAUUUACCGGGGCUAAGUGGUGUACCGAAGCUGCGGAUGCAUGUUUACAUGCAUGGUAGGGGAGCGUUCUGUAAGCCUGUGAAGGUGUGUUGAGAAGCAUGCUGGAGGUAUCAGAAGUGCGAAUGCUGACAUGAGUAACGAUAAAGGGGGUGAAAAACCCCCUCGCCGAAAGUCCAAGGUUUCCUCGUGCAACGUUAAUCGGCACAGGGUGAGUCGGCCCCUAAGGCGAGGCAGAAAUGCGUAGUCGAUGGGAAACAGGUUAACAUUCCUGUACUUUAAUAUGCUGCGAUGGAGUGACGGAGAAGGCUAGGUCAUCCGGGUGUUGGUUAUCCCGGUCCAAGCGUUUAGGCAGUGUUCUUAGGAAAAUCCGGGAACAUAAUGCUGAGGCGUGAUGGGGAGUUCAUUAAGAACGAAGUGAUUGAUGCCCUGCUUCCAGGAAAACCUUCUAAGCAUAGGUAUAUUAAAACCGUACUGUAAACCAACACAGGUGGACGAGAUGAGAAUUCUAAGGCGCUUGAGAGAACUCGGGUGAAGGAACUAGGCAAAAUGGUACCGUAACUUCGGGAGAAGGUACGCCUCCGACGGUUCACGCUGUUGGAGGCCGCAGAGACCAGGUGGCUGCGACUGUUUAUCAAAAACACAGCACUGUGCAAACACGAAAGUGGACGUAUACGGUGUGACGCCUGCCCGGUGCCGGAAGGUUAAUUGAUGGGGUUAUCCCU